UUUUUUUUAGAUUCCAUAUAUAUGUGUUAGCAUAUGGUAUUUGUUUUUCUCUUUCUGACUUACUUCACUCUGUAUGACAGACUCUAGAUCCAUACACCUCACUACAAAUAACUCAGUUUUGUUUCUCUUUAUGGCUGAGUAAUAUUCCAUUGUAUAUAUAUGCCACAUCUUCUAUCCAUUCAUCUGUCGAUGGAAGGGGCUGUUCUUCGUUGCGGUGCACGGGCUUCUCAUUGCGGUGGCUUCUCUUGUUGCAGAGCACGGGUUCUAGGCACAUGGGCUUCAGUAGUUGUGGCACACGGGCUCAGUAGUUGUGGCUCGUGGGCUCUACAGCGUAGGCUCAGUAGUUGUGGCGCACGGGCUUAGUUGCUCUGUGGCAUGUGGGAUCUUCCUGGACCAGGGCUCGAACCCGUGUCCCCUGCAUUGGCAGGCAGAUUCUUAACCACUGUGCCACCAGGGAAGCCCAGUCAGUAUGUUUUCUUUUUCAGUUUUAUCAAGAAAUCAUUGAGAUACAUAUAAGUUUAAGGUGUAUGGCAUGAUUGUUUGGUUAACAUAUAUUGUGAAAUGAUUAUCACAAUAGGUUCAGUUAACAUCCAUCAUCUCAUAUAGGUACAGUAAACAGAGAUGGAAGAAACAAUGCGAAAGAGUAAUUGACUUCCAACACCAUGGAUUUAUUCUACUGUCUUUGUACUUUAUGUAAAAAGAAUCACAUAGUCUGCUCUUUUGUGUCUGCCUUCUUUCCCUUGAGUCGGGUUUGUUCAUUCUCACUGCUGUGCAGAAUUCCAUCAAGUGACUGCACCACAGUUUGUUUUUCCAUUCUACCCUUAAUGGACAAUUGGGUUUCCAUUUGGGGGUCACUAUGAAUAGUGUUGUGGUGAACAUUCUAGUCUGUGCCUUUUGGAGCAUGUGUGUAUCUAGACCUUUCUCAUAUGCAACCAGAAGAGAAUCGAAUCGCUGGGUUGAAUGGCGUAUGCAUGUCUAUUUUGCCAAAGGAGAUGCACUCCCAGCGGUUGUGUACAAAGGUUCUUGGUGCUGAAACAUGAGGUAAGACAGUCUCUAGCUACAGCAAAAUGGGGGGAAGCUGGUGCCUGGAUGGAAAAAGCUGGACUUCUCCAUCCUGAGAGUUGGCUGCAGUGGGAAGGCGGGGGCGACAACACCCAGGAAUGGGGAUGGAGGAGGACUGGCAGCCUGUAGGGAGGGUGGCCACGGAAGCGUCUGGAAGGGCCAUCUCUUGCUCUCCUCCUGAGCUAAGCAGGUAGAGGAGGCUGAGGUGACAGCUCCACAUUCCAACAGCACCGGGGCUGAAACUCACCUCCUCUCUGUGGGGUUUGUCCCCACGUGCCCCUCACACUGAUGUGGAAAUUGCUCAGCCCCUGUGACUGGCCUCUGGUGGCAGAGUCUCACCCCUGGAGAGACGGGGGGGGGGAAGGCUGUGGCAGUCCCUGUGCUGGUCUCCUCAACAGCCGGCCCCCUUCUCCCUGCCCAGCAGUGGACCAGGUUGGUCUGUCUGCUAGUCACUGCACACGCAUUGCAGGUGAUGGGGCUGCCUGUCCCCUCAGGCAUUACCAAUGAAGAGCUCUCUGGCCAACCUCUGCCUCUCUGCAUCUCUGCCCCUUUGCCGGAGGGCUUCCUUCAGCAGCCCAACCAGGCAGCAAGCACCAGAAAGCUGACACUCCAUUGGGAAGAGCCUUCAACCAGUGAUGGUGGGUUUGGUGUAUAAAUACCUCAGCUCCCUCAGAGGCAGGACUGAGUGCUAUCCACCCACAGUGGUAACCAAUUUGAUAACACACCCUUUAUUGUCUGCCUUCCCUCCCAGUCUCACUCCCCUCCUCCCCUACUGAUGUUUCCUGGAAUCCCCUCCUGAACAAACCUACUUGCACUUGAAGCCUUGUCAAGGGCCUGCUUCUGGGGAAGUUAACCUAAGACCACAUGUGACCCAGUCUGGACAAAAAUGAAAGUCGGAAUGUGGAAAGGAGCAUAAACACGGAAGUGACGAGGGGCCAGGCCUAUGAUCUCUGUCCUCUCUGCUGCCCCGGCUCAGCAACGGGGAGUGUCUGCAGCAGCUGUCCUGAGCCUUGGGGACCAACCCUCAGUCCCCCACCACUGCCUCCUCUGCCCGGGGAGCUGGUGAAGGCCCCAGGGCAUGGCUGGCUGCAGGCAGUCCAGCCUUGGGGCUGCUUCAAGGUGUCCCCUCCUUGCCCCGGGGACAUGGGGUGUCUAGGCCUGAAGCCGAGUUGGAGUUGGCCCAGCUCUGAGUACAAGCACAGAGAAUGCCGAUUAAAUGUGCCAAAAAACGGGGAGAAGCUGGUGGAGGCUCAGGAGGCUGGGGCGCGGGGGGCAGAGCACCCCUCCCCACACAAGCCAGCCCCUGGCUCAGCUGCUUGCUCGGUUACAGGGCAAACACACCAGAUCACCCAGGGGUCAUGGGCGGUCCUGGCCAGGGACAACUCAGCCUGGCCUCACCAUCUUGUCCUCCCACAAAUGUGGUAAUGCCUGUCUUGAGUUAGACGACCCAGGGCAGGAGAGUGGGCUUCAAGAAGUCUCCUGGGCAAAGGGGGGGGGUGCUGAUCUGCUGCUCCAGGGUUGAAAGAAAACCAGAGAAGCAGGCGACUUCCCUGGAUACUGUGGCCGCCAUUAGAUUUCCAGAGCCUCAUCACUGUUCCAUUGUACACACAAGGAGACUGAAGCCCAGAGAGUGAAAGGGGCUCUUCCCCAGGACCUACAGCAGAACCCGGCUCAGAUCAGCUGGUCAGAAAGCAGAGACUCGGAGCCAACAGAGAAGGGCCACGGUGUGGAGGGGGGAACGGUCCAGAAACAGGGCUUGCCCUGGAAGGACAUCUCAGCCUCUCGGGUUUCAGCCACUGUCUUGCAGGAAAUCGCUAUUUGGACUUCAGAGGUGCCUUUUCCUGCAGCGGCCGCCACGGAGGGGAGAGGGCCGGGAAGGGGCCUUCCUGCCCACCUGGACCAGACCUUGAGUUGGGCAGGCGAAC